UCCGUGGCAUGUGGGAUCUUCCUGGGCCGGGGCAUGAACCCGUGUCCCCUGCAUCGGCAGGUGGACUCUCAACCACUGCGCCACCAGGGAAGCCCUAUUUGGGUCUUUAAUGCAGCUGGAGUGUAUGUUUAUGAUUGAAAUGAGAUAUGAUCUAAUCUUUCUGCAAACAUACAGCUGAUUAUUGCAACAUGACGGACUGUCUAGUUCCUUCUCUCUCCACUGAUCUGAAGUGAAACUCCCUCAUAUACUGAAUUGCCAUGUCUAGGUGCUGUUGGGUAAAAACGUGAUACUUGGAGCUCUGACAGCCAUCUUGUGACCACGAGGGGAAGGCCAGGAGAUGCAACUCUGUGCUGACUCAAUUCGGACACCUGGCACCACUGACUUCUGGACUUUCUUUGAAAUAAAUAAAAUGGUCUUACUGUUUAA